AAUGUCAUAGGGCAAAAUUAGAGAAAUCUAAUGACGCAAAGCUAUAGGGUCCGAGAGGACAGCCAGUUGCACCU
rnacentral:ncRNA from 1 species